CUCUCUCUCUUUCUCUCUCUUCUCAUCAUCGUCUUCAUCAUCAUCUUCUUUAUAACCUUUAAGCCGCUGUGCAAAACACUAAAUAUAACUAAUAAAACCCUUCUCUCUCUGUCUCUCUCUACUCCUCAUUACACAUUUCUUACUCUUAUCAGAUUCAGAUUUCCCUUUUUUUUCAAUAAACAAACACUUCCCUCUCAAGUUUUCUCUAUAUAAUACCCACUUUUCGGUUUUUCUCUUUCCAUUACUUCACUCUUCUUCUCCUUCUUCUUCUUAUCCUCUGGUUGAGUGGUUUCGAUUGCUUUUCCUUCCUUUGAUUUCGAUUCUAGCUUCUCUCUUGAUUGGACGACCUCGAUCUUCUCCUUCUCUCUCACCCGCCAAAUCGUCCGGUUAGUACCCCUUUGUCAGCUUACCACUAAGUUACGUAACUGCUACAUUUAACACUUCGCCUUGCCAAAGCCACCGUUCUUUCUAUCCUAUUUUCCUUUCUUUAUAUUUCUUUUUAUUUUUUUUUUUCUGUGAAAAUAGAAGACCGUAGGAUAUAUAUGAUACUUAUACACGGAUGUUGUAUAUGUGAUACGUCCCCGUUUCUGAAUCUGCUGUAACACCCAUUCACUGUACUGUAAGUGCUUGUUUUUUAUUUAUUUUGGAUUUUUCCAUUUUAGUUUGUUUAUGCCAAUUUUAUUUGCUUACAAUUACUUGAAACCAUUUUUUCGCUUUGCUUCUCCUCGUUUUUGAUUCUGUUUUGGCCGUUGUCGUUUCCUUUUUGCAGCUUUUUUUAUGGCUCUUUUUGUUGCAUGCAAUGGUUCAAUUUGGUUUCUUUUUCAAUUUUACUUCAUUUCUGGAUUAGCAAAUUUGCCAAUGAUCUUAUAAUUUCUAAUUUUUAUUGUGGAUAUGCGUUCUAAAGACCCAGAUUUUUGUUGGGUGGUACUGUUUUUCAUUAUUGUUGCUGUUCAUUCUUCUAUUCUGGUUUAGCUUAUUAUUACUGUUAUUUUUAUUUUUAAGAGCCUCUUUCUGAAUUUUUGGUUGUAAAGGGGUGUCUGAGAACAAUUUUUUCUAUUAAGUUCUACAACGUUUACUGCUUCGUAUUUACAUGAUCAGAAAAGGCAGCUGGCUUGUUUCUCGUGGGUCUUUGUUUUUGCAGUAAUGCGAAUAUUUAUUAUAACUUUCUUUUUUUCAAAUAUUUUAUCCCCAUACGUGUGAUCUGCAUGUGAGUAGUGUGUUUUAUUUUAUGUGUUGUGUGGAAGUGUAAUGUGUUGACUUGGAUUUGAGAUUUGGGUGUAAUUUUAAGUUUGAUACACCAUCUCUCUUUUUCAUUGGAUGUUGAAUUCUAAGUCUAUAAUUGUAGGCCUGUAUUAAAUGCCUGCGGUCCCUGUAAGCUAAAUUGGGUUUCAGUUCUUUGCUUUAUGUUAGUACAGGAUUUGGCUGUUUAGAAAUAGGGAAGUGUUGAAUUACAUAGUGAAAUUUAGUUGUUCUCGAAAUUUGUUGAAGCACAUCAUGUAAAACGUAUUCUUCUGAAACACAAGAAAAAUAACAGAUCAAUCAGCUGGAUGGUUUUUCUAUAGCAAACCUAAAGCUUGGGUUUGCUUUAUUUUCAUAAAUUGUUAGGUAGUUGUGAAAUGAGAGAGAUUUCCUGGUGAGAACUUAUAUUAAAUGGCUGUAACAUCAUAUAAAACAACAUAAUUUGUAGGGACCAUGUGACUUUAUGUAGGAUGAGGUGGUUGGUAUUUUGGUUUACUACAUUUAUUGGAAUGCUCCCGAUUCUUGUUCCAUAUGUUGAGUAUUCUGUUCUCCUUGAAUCAAAUCAUGUAGGUCACAUUUGGUAGUCCCAUUGGUAUUGAAUUUUGCCAUUGUGGCAUUCAUAGCAUUCGAAGGAACAAAAACAUCAUAGAUAACACAGGAUGGGGCCAUGAAAUAAAAUUGGAGGUAUCAUCACCACACAAGUGCUAGUUUUAUGACUUUGACAAUGGGAUUUUAUGGAUCCCAUUUUUUAUUUAAUUGAUGAUUCGUUAUCUCAAUUUGUUGGUUCUAUUCAUGGCGAUGAACUUGAACAUCAGGUAUUGUCUAAGAUUACACUUUAUGUUUGCUUCUGAAAUUAUGGGUGUUUUGGAGAUUUCAUUUUGACACUUACAAACAGCUCUGUUCAAGCAAUGGUACUGUAUCAUUUUUGUAUAAAAACAACAGCUAUGCAAGUUCCUUCAUUUACUGAAAUCUCAUAGGUGGUGGAUGUAUAAGUGUUGUUGAUUUGAAGAUGAAGUGAAAAUUUUCAAAUAUAUUUACUUUGUUUAGAUGUUCCAACACGCAUAGUAGUUCCAUUCUACAACAUUGAUCUUAUUUAGCUUAGGCCUUUUUGUUUAGGUUUCUUUUGUGUUAGAGUGGGAGAAACAGACUGAGAACAAUUCACUACUGUAAAAAAUUGCCUCUUUAUGAUUUCUUAAUAAUUGACUGUUUCUUGUAUUCCUUGUUCAUCCAAUAACUUUGACCAAGAACUGUUGCACUCUUUAUAUUUGAUCCCCAAUACUUGCAGGAUAAUAUCUUUGGAAAGUCUACUUUCUUUUGCAUAUGAAUCAUAUUCUUAUUUCUUUUUUAUUCUGUUAUAUAAUCUCUUUCUUUUUAGGUAUUAAGUAAAAAGUUUGGAAAUUCUUGCACUCAAUAGAACCUAACUGGCUCUCUCUAUAUUUAUGGUUUUCAGUGAGCAAGUUGCAUUCUCUAGAGAAGGGAGACUAUGGAGCCAAAUGGUCACAGAAGAGUGAGAAGAAGGGAGCAUCUUUUUCACCAAAAUGGUGAUAUGACAUUACCAACUUUUGGUGAUGUAGAUCCAUGGACUGCAUGGGCGUACAAGCCUCGUACUAUUUCACUAUUACUUAUUGGUGCAUGCUUACUUAUUUGGGCAAGCGGAGCCCUCAAUCCUGAAAGCAGUGUCUCUGGUGACGUGGUUACAUCCGUCAAAAGGGGUGUAUGGGCAAUGAUUGCAGUUUUCCUUGCUUAUUGCUUGCUACAGGCCCCUUCGACGGUUCUUAUAAGGCCACAUCCAGCAAUUUGGCGCUUAGUUCAUGGAAUGGCUGUAGUCUAUCUUGUUGCCCUCACAUUUUUGCUUUUCCAGAAACGUGAUGAUGCUCGACAGUUCAUGAAGUUUCUCCACCCUGACCUUGGAGUUGGUAAUACUUAUAACUGUUGUAUAUUAUUUGAUGAAUUAUUUCACUUCAAUUUCUUCAAACAUCCCAUUCGUAUGAGAGGGAUGAUGUCUGCAUACUCAACUGUCUUGGUCUUUUUCCAUUUCUUCAUGCAGAACUUCCUGAAAGAUCAUAUGGUGCAGAUUGUCGCAUUUACAUGCCCGAGAAUCCCACAAGCAGGUUUAAGAAUCUUUAUGAUACUCUUUUUGACGAAUUUGUUCUAGCACAUAUAUUUGGAUGGUGGGGCAAGGCUAUACUUAUACGUAAUCAGCCACUUCUUUGGGUAUUAUCUAUUGGGUUUGAGUUGAUGGAGUUUACCUUCCGCCAUAUGCUGCCAAACUUCAACGAGUGCUGGUGGGACAGUGUCAUUCUUGAUAUUUUGAUAUGCAAUUGGUUUGGUAUUUGGGCAGGAAUGCUUACGGUUAGGUACUUUGAUGGAAAAACAUACGAGUGGGUUGGUAUAAGUCGUCAACCAAAUAUUAUGGGCAAGGCAUGUUUUGAACUUCUAAUAUGAUGUUUGCCUUAUCUUUAUUAAAUAUUUCUUUUUUGGCUUUUAUUUUUAUCCGAACUCUAUCUAUAGACUCUUGCUUCCAAUCACCAGUAGUUCGAUUUAUUCUUUCUUUUUGGUUCUAAGAAUAAAAUCAUCUUAAGUUUAGUAUUUUUCAUGUCAUUGAAUUUCUAUUCGAGUUUCAAGGAGACAUUGACACUGCUUUUAAACUGCUUUAUAAUGCUUGCUCGUUGAUCAGGUCAAACGAACACUGGGACAAUUUACACCAGCACAGUGGGACAAAGAUGAGUGGCACCCCUUACUUGGUCCAUGGCGAUUUAUCCAAGUUCUUAGCCUUUGCAUAGUGUUCCUGACAGUGGAGCUUAACACAUUCUUUCUUAAGUUUUGUCUUUGGGUUCCUCCUCGGAACCCUGUGAUAGUGUAUAGGUUGAUAUUGUGGUGGCUAAUUGCCAUACCGACGAUUCGUGAGUACAAUUCCUAUCUCCAAGACCGGAAACCAGUGAAAAAGGUUGGGGCUUUUUGUUGGCUUUCACUUGCUAUAUGCAUCAUUGAACUUCUCAUUUGCAUCAAGUUUGGACAUGGUCUAUACCCUAAACCAAUGCCUGUGGGGUUGGUUAUCUUCUGGGCAUUUGUUGGAGUUUCCCUUCUAAUAUUCCUGAUUGUUUGGUCAUGGCACAUGCAUCGAAGUUUGGGGAGAAAGAGGCAAUGAUGAUGAUAUAGCAUGGUACGCUAUUCUUUGAUUCCUUUAUGUUCUUAUGGGUAUCCAUCAAUGUUGUAAAUACCCAUUUAUUUCAUAGAAUUGUAAAUUCUUGUUUUCUUAGGUUAAUAUGGAUCACAGUUUCUUUAUUAGAGAAUAGUCAUUUUUUUCUUGAUAGGUAUUCAGAAAUGCUUCUAACAUGCAUUCAUGGGUUACUAAUUUGCCGCUAUUAACUAAUCGGCAAAUAGCCCUAACGUAUCUGGAGCAUUAUCCAUUUUUUGAGCACAGUUUUCUGUUUCUGACUUUUGCUGGUGUGGCGAACUUUUAGACAAUGGCAAUGGAAAGCUGCAGCAAAAUGUUUAGAAACUAUUGUCUUCCUCCUCUCUUUUCUUCUGAUGCUCUAACCUUAUGUUUUUUCUGUGAUUAACUCCAAGUUCCAGUACAACACUUUAAGUCAUUUAAUUCAGUUUUUUAAAGUAUAUUCUUGCAUAUUUGACCUGUUAAAUAAGCCAAUGGUGGUAGAAUUUUAAAUAAUUUAUUAUUUCGUUCUUAACUUCUGCCAUCAAUAUUUGAACUUUUGUUCAUCUAUUUUGAUAAAUACAUUAAAGUAUUUUUAAG
rnacentral:misc_RNA from 1 species